AUUGAACGCUGGCGGCAGGCCUAACACAUGCAAGUCGAACGGUAACAGGAAGAAGCUUGCUUCUUUGCUGACGAGUGGCGGACGGGUGAGUAAUGUCUGGGAAACUGCCUGAUGGAGGGGGAUAACUACUGGAAACGGUAGCUAAUACCGCAUAACGUCGCAAGACCAAAAAGGGGGACCUUCGGGCCUCUUGCCAUCGGAUGUGCCCAGAUGGGAUUAGCUAGUAGGUGGGGUAACGGCUCACCUAGGCGACGAUCCCUAGCUGGUCUGAGAGGAUGACCAGCCACACUGGAACUGAGACACGGUCCAGACUCCUUCGGGAGGCAGCAGUGGGGAAUAUUGCACAAUGGGCGCAAGCCUGAUGCAGCCAUGCCGCGUGUAUGAAGAAGGCCUUCGGGUUGUAAAGUACUUUCAGCGGGGAGGAAGGGAGUAAAGUUAAUACCUUUGCUCAUUGACGUUACCCGCAGAAGAAGCACCGGCUAACUCCGUG
rnacentral:rRNA from 1 species